rnacentral:lncRNA from 1 species
CGUGGUCUCCUCAGGGCAGUUCUGGCUAGGUGGAGAGGACUGUGCUUGGGGUUGCCAGGAGAGCAGCCAGUAAGAAGGGAGCUCUUCGUGUCCACCUCCUCAGCUCCCACGCCAGGGCUGUGCCUCGCCUCUUCCCACUCUCCCACAGCCUCCCUGCCCAACGGGAUUCCAGAGACUGGGAGGUACUCCCCAGCCUGACUCAGGCAAACUGAGCUCCUGGCUUCUGACAUGCAGGCCCUGAGGCAAGUCUUGCUCUGGGAAGAUGAACAGGUUUUUAUUAUCUCCACUUUAGGAAAAAGCUUCAACUUCUGGCUGCUGUGGGAGGCUCGUUCCCGAGAAGAAAAAUGACCUCUGGUUGCAGUUCGCAUGGGACAUCUCCCCAGCUAGGCUGGGAGCUCGCUGAGGGCAGGACCUUGGCCCCUGAGCUUCCAACUCAGCCCCUCCCCUCCUCGGCCUUGCCCUUUGCAGGCAGAAUACCAAGGGCUGCCUCCAGAAGUCUGUGACAUUGAGGACCCUGAGUUCAAGCGAGCUGCCUCUGGCCCUCCUUUCAUUUGCAUGAAAUACUGGCCAGGGCUUUCCAGCUGAACCCCCACCACCGAGAGCUCAAACCAGAAAAGCAAUCAACAUCUGGCUACCUCGCUCGCAGAGACC